GUGCUUGCUUCAGCAGCACAUAGAUUAAAAUUGGAAUGAUACAGGAAAGAUUAAUAUGGCCCCUGAACAAGAAUGAAUCACAAAUUCAUGAAGCAUUCCAUAUUAAG
rnacentral:snRNA from 1 species